GCCUGAUAAAGGCAAACCUGUCGAAAGGCAAGGGCGCAAAGCCACCGGUCUAAGGAUUCUUCGGAAUGUAUGAUCGCGGGGCUGCCAGG
rnacentral:ncRNA from 1 species